rnacentral:rRNA from 1 species
UACGGGGGGGGCAAGCGUUGUUCGGAAUUACUGGGCGUAAAGGGCUCGUAGGUGGCCAACUAAGUCAGACGUGAAAUCCCUCGGCUUAACCGGGGAACUGCGUCUGAUACUGGAUGGCUAGAGAUUGGGAGAGGGAUGCGGAAUUCCAGGUGUAGCGGUGAAAUGCGUAGAUAUCUGGAGGAACACCGGUGGCGAAGGCGACUUACUGGACGAUUGUUGACGCUGAGGUGCGAAAGCUAGGGGAGCGAACAGG